CUACGGGCUGCUCCAGUGGGGAAUAUUGGACAAUGGGGGAAACCCUGAUCCAGCAAUGCCGCGUGUGUGAAGAAGGCCUGCGGGUUGUAAAGCACUUUCGGUUGGGAGGACUGCUUCUAGCACUAAUAUUGUUGGAAGUUGACGUUACCUUCAGAAGAAGCACCGGCUAACUCCGUGCCAGCAGCCGCGGUAAUACGGAGGGUGCAAGCGUGAAUCGGAAUUACUGAGCGUAAAGCGCGCGUAGGCGGCUAGAUCAGUCGGGUGUGAAAGCCCCGGGCUUAACCUGGGAACUGCAUCCGAUACUGGCUAGCUUGAGUACAGGAGAGGAGAGUGGAAUUCCACAUGUAGCGGUGAAAUGCGUAGAUAUGUGGAGGAACACCAAUGGCGAAGGCAGCUCUCUGGCCUGAUACUGACGCUGAGGUGCGAAAGCGUGGGGAGCAAACAGGAUUAGAUACCCCGGUAGUC
rnacentral:rRNA from 1 species